rnacentral:lncRNA from 1 species
GUGGGAAGUUAUAUUUUUCAUCUGUUAGAGAGAGAGAGAGAGAGGCUUGCAUAUUUUAUUAUACAUCUUGUUGUAUAUACAAUUACAAGAAAGACAACAUACAAUCAAUUAAGAUAGACAUGAAAAUGAGAAAUGAAUAAAUAUAUGAGAUUGUGCAUUUUUCAUUUGAAGUUGCUGGUGGAAACAGCACGCAAGUCAAUCUUUUUGUUGAACAGGCAAGUAUUCUGUUUUUGCCUAGUUACAAGAUGAAUUGUCAAUGAGAUCAACCGAGAUUAUUUACCAUACUUAAUUCUGUAAUCAUAUUUGUAAAAUUGUCUUACCAUAUUUGUAUGAUUCUCUUUACGUGUUUUGUAUAGCUUUAUUCCUAUAUAAUGAAAGCAAUCUUGAACGGGAACAUGAUUUAACCAAAACUUUUACAUGGUAUCAGAGCUUACCUCUAGAAUUCAUCACUGAAUCUUUGAUUUUCAGUUUUCUUCUGCCUAUGGUGUAAUCGAAGUUCGAUCGAGCCUUUUUGUGUGUGCAAUCGGUGUGGUACAGCGUCUUUGACAUCGUCAUUACUGUGUGAACAAUUCUUGGUGGCCGAAGUUUUGUCUCAAAACAUUUGGUGUCUGUGGGUGUUUGAUGCGAUUUUCGGUGUCUUUAUGGGUGUUCGACGUGGUUUCUGGUGUUCAACGUUCCUCUGUCCAUGAUCGACG